rnacentral:rRNA from 1 species
UACGGGGGGAGCAAGCGUUGUUCGGAUUUACUGGGCGUAAAGGGCGCGUAGGCGGCCACCGCAAGUCGGUUGUGAAAUCUCCGGGCUUAACCCGGAAAGGUCAAUCGAUACUGCGGGGCUAGAGUGCAGAAGGGGCAACUGGAAUUCUCGGUGUAGCGGUGAAAUGCGUAGAUAUACGGAGGAACACCAGAGGCGAAGGCGGAUCGCUGGGCCAACACUGACGCUGAUGUGCGAAAGCUAGGGGAGCAAACGGG